UAAACAUGGAAAAUAUCUUCACAUUUAAAAUAUGUUAGAGCUGGAGGGGGACAGAGCUGCUAUACAAACAGACACAAUAACACUCAGUUUCGUAUUGAUUAAAAAUAGUUCUUUAACUAGUAUACUCCAAUGCUUCACUUACCUGUUGUCAGCCAUCAUCGACACUUUUUGCAAAUUCCGUUUAUACAGUUCAAAUUUGUCACAAAUUCCUCCAUAUAGUGAAUAUAGUUUAUUCAUAUUUUAUUAUGGGGCCGGAUCGACUUGGGGACGGAUCGACGUGGGCUGGAUCGACUUGGGCCGGAUCGACUUUGGGCCGGAUUGACUUGGGGCCAGAUCGGUUUGGGGCCGGAACGACCGGAUACCUUGAAAACAAUCAAUACAUGCAACAGAAAACAGCUUACCCUACCAUGCCCG
rnacentral:lncRNA from 1 species